UCGCACAUCUUGUUGUCAGAUUAUUGAUUUUUCGCGAACCCAUUUGAUCAUAUGACAAGAUGUGUAUCCA
rnacentral:antisense_RNA from 1 species